CAUGACCUGAGUGGAAGUCGGACUCUUAACCGACUGAGCCACCUGGGGGGCCCCCUGUACCCAUUUCUCCUUUCCAUUCUGCCUGCUGGCUCCAGACUAACCUCGCUAGGGCACCUUCCCAAAGCCGCGGUAGCCUCCUGACCGGUCUCUUACUCGUCCAACAAACCGCCAGCACCAGACUGGCCUUCCAACAAUCCCUCCUGCCCCGUAAGGACCAUCCGCUCAACACCCCGCGAUGCUCCUGUGGUGCCCACAGGUGAUGGCAACUGUGCAUCAUGCGGGACUCAACCCGCAAACCAGCGAACGGAACAAAGGAGACAGAACCCUAACCUCAUACGGGAGGAAGGAACGUGACCCAGAUGGGCACGGUUUCAGGAGAGUGACCAUCAGGCCACAGAAGUCCAAGGAAGACGAACUUACACAUCCGCCUGAGCAGAGAGAGUGCCUCAAGAAAACAGUGUUAUGGGUAACCGGGCAUGUGUAGGUCAAGGUCAAAGCAAAUACAGAACGCCGCCAGCAUAAAGAA